rnacentral:rRNA from 1 species
GACGAACGCUGGCGGCGUGCCUAAUACAUGCAAGUUGAGCGAUGAAGAUUGGUGCUUGCACCAAUUUGAAGAGCAGCGAACGGGUGAGUAACGCGUGGGGAAUCUGCCUUUGAGCGGGGGACAACAUUUGGAAACGAAUGCUAAUACCGCAUAACAACUUUAAACAUAAGUUUUAAGUUUGAAAGAUGCAAUUGCAUCACUCAAAGAUGAUCCCGCGUUGUAUUAGCUAGUUGGUGAGGUAAAGGCUCACCAAGGCGAGGAUACAUAGCCGACCUGAGAGGGUGAUCGGCCAAAUUGGGACUGAGACACGGCCCAAACUCCUACGGGAGGCAGCAGUAGGGAAUCUUCGGCGAUGGAAGAAAGUCUGACCGAGCAACGCCGCGUGAGUGAAGAAGGUUUUCGGAUCGUAAAACUCUGUUGGUAGAGAAGAACGUUGGUGAGAGUGGAAAGCUCAUCAAGUGACGGUAACUACCCAGAAAGGGACGGCUAACUACGUG